GCCAUAGCUUAGUGGCAGAACAUCUGUUUUGGAUGCAGAAGGUACUAGGUUCAAUCCCAAGCAUCUCCA